GCGCAGCAGUCGAGAAAACUCCACAAUGCGCGAAAGCGCGAUGGGGCUAUCCCGAGUGCCGUCCGCUGAGGAUGGCUUUUCUCCAGUGUAAGGAGCUGGAGGAAUAAGGAGAGGGCAAGUCUGGUGUCAGCCGCCGCGGUAAUACCAGCUCUCCGAGUGGUAGGGACGUUUAUUGGGCUUAAAGCGUCCGUAGCCGGCUCAGCAAGUCCUCCGUUAAAUCCAGCGAUUCAAUCGUUGGACUGCGGGGGAUACUGCUGGGCUAGGGGACGGGAGAGGCCGACGGUAUUCCCGGAGUAGGGGUGAAAUCCUAUAAUUCCGGGAGGACCACCAGUGGCGAAGGCUGUCGGCUAGAACGAGCUCGACGGUGAGGGACGAAAGC
rnacentral:rRNA from 1 species